GGGCCCGCACAAGCGGUGGAGCAUGUGGUUUAAUUCGAUGCAACGCGAAGAACCUUACCUACUCUUGACAUCCUGCGAAUUUGGUAGAGAUACCUUAGUGCCUUCGGGAACGCAGAGACAGGUGCUGCAUGGCUGUCGUCAGCUCGUGUUGUGAAAUGUUGGUUAAGUCCCGUAACGAGCGCAACCCUUGUCCUUAUUUGCCAGCGCGUAAUGGCGGGAACUCUAAGGAGACUGCCGGUGACAAACCGGAGGAAGGUGGGGACGACGUCAAGUCAUCAUGGCCCUUACGGCCUGGGCUACACACGUGCUACAAUGGCUAGGACAGACGGCUGCAAACCAGCGAUGGGGAGCU
rnacentral:rRNA from 1 species